GACAGAGUGAAUGCUGUAAUCCAGAGGUUGAUUCUAGAGGUGGAACAAACCAGAGAGGUGUUAAGAAGGGUGAAAGAAGAAAUGGAACUGAGCAAGGGGGAGUUAAAAGGGGAAAAGGACAAAAUCAGACUGAUGAAGACGGAGACACAAAAAAGAAAAAAAGAGCUGGAGCAAAGGAUGGAGAAGAUCAUGCGAGAGAGGGACAAAAUCAGACUGAUGAAGACGGAGACACAAAAAAGAAAAAAAGAGCUGGAGCAAAGGAUGGAGAAGAUCAUGCGAGAGAGGGAUGAGUUAGAACUGGUGAAGUCAAAGAUACAGAGACAACGGGAAGAGCUGAAACAGAAGAUGGAAGAUGGAAAGACUGAGAGUGAAAAGAUGGAACAGAUGAAAGAUGAAAUACAGAGAGCGGUUGCAGAGAUAGACCUGGCAAGGGAGGAGAUACAAAGGGAAAAAAGGAAGAUUAAAGAGGACAAUGCAAGGGAAGAGAAGGAUAUGAUGGAGUCUAUGAAAGCUGAGCUUGACAGACAGAAAGAGGGAAAAAACAGAAGGAAAAAAGAAAUGCCAAUGAUGAAGACCACGGUCCAGAGGCCACAGGAUGAAACAGAGAAAGCCUACCUUGGAGAUACAACAACUGAGAUACCAUUUGAGUCACAAGAGCUAAGAACCGCCAUUGAAAAAGAAAGAAGAGACUUGGAACGCAGAGAGAAAAUGAUUAUGAGAGAGAAGUAUGACCUGGAAAAGUCAAAAGCCGAGUUUGAGAAGGAAAAGGCGGGGAUGGAGAACAUGAUCACAAAACAACGAGAGGAGAGCAGACAAAUGAUUGAGGACAUAGAAAAGAAAAAAGAAAAUCUCGAGCAAAUGGAUGCAGAGAUGCAAAGGAAAAGACAGGUCAUCGUAAGGGAAAUGCAAUAUAAAACACAAAAGAUGCAGGAUUUAAAAAAAGCAAAAGAUAAAUUUAAACAAACGCAAGUUAAAUUUAGCAAAGAGAAAAUUGAAAUGGGAAACAUCAAAAAGGCUACCUUGGCGGAAAGAAAUAAACUAGCAGUAGAGCAAGCUUACAUAGAGAAACGUAAGGAGGAGAUGGAAGCCAUCCUGGAAACGACAAAGAAGGAGAAUGAAGAUCUGCUGAACUUAAAAGCUCAAAUAGAGGGAUGGAAAGAAGACAAAGACGAACGGGGUGAACGCCUGAACAGGGAGAGAAAGGAACUUGAAUAUCUGAAAAGUAAGAUUCAAAAAGAAAAAGAGGAUACGAUAAGAAACAGGAACAUUUCGGAAAAAGAGAAAAAGGACUUGGAGCUGAUGAGAUCUGAAAUGCAGAAAGAAAAGGGGAAGAUGGAACAAGAGAAGCUUAAGGUACAAGUUGAGAGACAAAAGCUUGAACAAAUGAAACUGGAGUUACAGAGAAAGUCCAACGACCUAGAUAUGAUCAUAGAAGACACAAAGAGGGAGAAAGUCAGUGCAUCACAAAUUCCUGUCCAAAUACAACAACAAAAGAACCAAAUUGAUUGUUUUGUGGAAGAGACAAAGAGGAGUAAAAUCGAAGAAGAAUUGAUGAGCGCUGAAAUAAAAAGACAGAAAGAGGAGAUAGACAGCAAACAAGACAUUCUAUCAAAUGAGAGAGAAGAUCUGAAUAAACUCAGAACAGAGGUAAACAAUCAGAGAGAAGAGAUUGAAAAUAUCACGCAAGAGCAAAUUAAAGAAACAUUUCUAAUUAAUCAGACAAAGACAGAGAUGGAAAAAGAGAGAUGUGAGAUGGACAGAAUAAAGAAAAUGAUAGAGCAGAAUAUGGAUGAGCUAGAGCAGAGAAAGUGUGAGAUGAGAAAAGUAGAAAACAUAAUUAUCGAACUGAGAAAAGAAGAAGAGAGUAUAACGAAUGAGAUGAACAGGAUGAGAAAGAACACAGAGCAGAAAAGUUUUGAAAUGCAGAGACGGUCUGAAGACAUGAAUCAGCUAAUGGAUGAGACAAGACGGGAGAGGGGGAAGGUUGAAGAACUGGCUAUCCAAACUCAAAAACAAAGAGAAGAAAUGGUGGGUUUUAUGGAAAAGAACAAACAAAAGCAGAACGAACUGGAACUCAUGACUGACAAGAUUGAAAGAGAGAAACAAGACAUCGAAGACAGUCGGGAUGUGCUAACAAAGGAGAGAGAGGAGCUGGAACAAAUGAGGAGUGAGAUACAGCAACAGAGAGAGGAGACAGAAUCUCACAUGGAAGACCAAAGGAAAGAGAAAGAACAUUUGGAACAAAUGACGACGGACAUGAAAAAACAGUUGCUAGAGGUGGACAAUGACAAGGAAAUGAUACAAAGCUCAAUGGGUGAACUGAGAGUGAAAGAGGCAGAAAUGGUGAGAGAAAAAGACAACAUGGAUAACAAGAUGGCUAGGCUCAAAGAGGAAGAGGAUAGAAUGCGGGAAGAAAUAGGAAGGAAGAUGGACAUCUUAAAGCAGGAAAGUUGUGAAAUCAAAAGACUUAGAGAUGAAAUUGACAGUGAAAAGGACCAGCUGAAUGCAAAAUUGCUUGAGUUGGAAAAAAUGCAUGAAGAACUAGAUAGAGAGAAGAAGGAAGUGAAAGACAGGAAGGAUGAAACACUGAAAGAGAAAGAUCAGUUGGAAGAGAGGCGAGGUAAGAUAAGUAAGGAGAAAGAGGAUAUCAGUCUUGAACUGAUGAAAAGACAAAGGGAAGACUUGAUGAGCUUGAAGGCUGAAGCAGAAGUACAGACCGAGCCUAUGGAAACAGACUGGAAGGAAAAGCUCACGAGGGAAAGACAACAACUUGAAGAUGUAAAGGAGGAGAUACAGAAGGAAAAAGAAGCCUUUGAGAGAAAGAAGGGAUUGGCCAUGAAAGAAAGAGAUGAGUUUGAUCUGAUGAAGUCUGAAACCCAGGGACAAUUGGAGGAAAUAGAACAAAACAAACAAGACAUUCGUGUGGAGAAGGAAAAGCUGGAUCAGAUCAAAGCUGAGUUAGAAAGACGGUCUGAAGACAUCAAUCAGCUCAUGGUUGAGACAAGACGGGAGAGGGGGAAGGUUGAAGAACUGGCUAUCCAAACUAAAAAACAAAGAGAAGAAAUGGUGGGUUUUAUGGAAAAGAACAAACAAAAGCAAAACGAACUGGAACUCAUGACUGACAAGAUUGAAAGAGAGAAACAAGACAUCGAAGACAGUCGAGAUGUGCUAACAAAGGAGAGAGAGGAGCUGGAACAAAUGAGGAGUGAGAUACAGCAACAGAGAGAGGAGACAGAAUCUCACAUGGAAGACCAAAGGAAAGAGAAAGAACAUUUGGAACAAAUGACGACGGACAUGAAAAAACAGUUGCUAGAGGUGGACAAUGACAAGGAAAUGAUACAAAGCUCAAUGGGUGAACUGAGAGUGAAAGAGGCAGAAAUGGUGAGAGAAAAAGACAACAUGGAUAACAAGAUGGCUAGGCUCAAAGAGGAAGAGGAUAGAAUGCGGGAAGAAAUAGGAAGGAAGAUGGACAUCUUAAAGCAGGAAAGUUGUGAAAUCAAAAGACUUAGAGAUGAAAUUGACAGUGAAAAGGACCAGCUGAAUGCAAAAUUGCUUGAGUUGGAAAAAAUGCAUGAAGAACUAGAUAGAGAGAAGAAGGAAGUGAAAGACAGGAAGGAUGAAACACUGAAAGAGAAAGAUCAGUUGGAAGAGAGGCGAGGUAAGAUAAGUAAGGAGAAAGAGGAUAUCAGUCUUGAACUGAUGAAAAGACAAAGGGAAGACUUGAUGAGCUUGAAGGCUGAAGCAGAAGUACAGACCGAGCCUAUGGAAACAGACUGGAAGGAAAAGCUCACGAGGGAAAGACAACAACUUGAAGAUGUAAAGGAGGAGAUACAGAAGGAAAAAGAAGCCCUUGAGAGAAAGAAGGGAUUGACCAUGAAAGAAAGAGAUGAGUUUGAUCUGAUGAAGUCUGAAACCCAGGGACAAUUGGAGGAAAUAGAACAAAACAAACAAGACAUUCGUGUGGAGAAGGAAAAGCUGGAUCAGAUCAAAGCUGAGUUAGAAAGACGGUCUGAAGACAUCAAUCAGCUCAUGGAUGAGACAAGACGGGAGAGGGGGAAGGUUGAAGAACUGGCUAUCCAAACUCAAAAACAAAGAGAAGAAAUGGUGGGUUUUAUGGAAAAGAACAAACAAAAGCAGAACGAACUGGAACUCAUGACUGACAAGAUUGAAAGAGAGAAACAAGACAUCGAAGACAGUCGGGAUGUGCUAACAAAGGAGAGAGAGGAGCUGGAACAAAUGAGGAGUGAUAUACAGCAACAGAGAGAGGAGACAGAAUCUCACAUGGAAGACCAAAGGAAAGAGAAAGAACAUUUGGAACAAAUGACGACGGACAUGAAAAAACAGUUGCUAGAGGUGGACAAUGACAAGGAAAUUAUACAAAGCUCAAUGGGUGAACUGAGAGUGAAAGAGGCAGAAAUGGUGAGAGAAAAAGACAACAUGGAUAACAAGAUGGCUAGGCUCAAAGAGGAAGAGGAUAGAAUGCGGGAAGAAAUAGGAAGGAAGAUGGACAUCUUAAAGCAGGAAAGUUGUGAAAUCAAAAGACUUAGAGAUGAAAUUGACAGUGAAAAGGACCAGCUGAAUGCAAAAUUGCUUGAGUUGGAAAAAAUGCAUGAAGAACUAGAUAGAGAGAAGAAGGAAGUGAAAGACAGGAAGGAUGAAACACUGAAAGAGAAAGAUCAGUUGGAAGAGAGGCGAGGUAAGAUAAGUAAGGAGAAAGAGGAAUUGGAUAUCAGUCUUGAACUGAUGAAAAGACAAAGGGAAGACUUGAUGAGCUUGAAGGCUGAAGCAGAAGUACAGACCGAGCCUAUGGAAACAGACUGGAAGGAAAAGCUCACGAUGGAAAGACAACAACUUGAAGAUGUAAAGGAGGAGAUACAGAAGGAAAAAGAAGCCUUUGAGAGAAAGAAGGGAUUGACCAUGAAAGAAAGAGAUGAGUUUGAUCUGAUGAAGUCUGAAACCCAGGGACAAUUGGAGGAAAUAGAACAAAACAAACAAGACAUUCGUGUGGAGAAGGAAAAGGUGGAUCAGAUCAAAGCUGAGUUAGAAAGACGGUCUGAAGACAUCAAUCAGCUCAUGGAUGAGACAAGACAGGAGAGGGGGAAGGUUGAAGAACUGGCUAUCCAAACUCAAAAACAAAGAGAAGAAAUGGUGGGUUUUAUGGAAAAGAACAAACAAAAGCAGAACGAACUGGAACUCAUGACUGACAAGAUUGAAAGAGAGAAACAAGACAUCGAAGACAGUCGGGAUGUGCUAACAAAGGAGAGAGAGGAGCUGGAACAAAUGAGGAGUGAGAUACAGCAACAGAGAGAGGAGACAGAAUCUCACAUGGAAGACCAAAGGAAAGAGAAAGAACAUUUGGAACAAAUGACGACGGACAUGAAAAAACAGUUGCUAGAGGUGGACAAUGACAAGGAAAUGAUACAAAGCUCAAUGGGUGAACUGAGAGUGAAAGAGGCAGAAAUGGUGAGAGAAAAAGACAACAUGGAUAACAAGAUGGCUAGGCUCAAAGAGGAAGAGGAUAGAAUGCGGGAAGAAAUAGGAAGGAAGAUGGACAUCUUAAAGCAGGAAAGUUGUGAAAUCAAAAGACUUAGAGAUGAAAUUGACAGUGAAAAGGACCAGCUGUAUGCAAAAUUGCUUGAGUUGGAAAAAAUGCAUGAAGAACUAGAUAGAGAGAAGAAGGAAGUGAAAGACAGGAAGGAUGAAACACUGAAAGAGAAAGAUCAGUUGGAAGAGAGGCGAGGUAAGAUAAGUAAGGAGAAAGAGGAAUUGGAUAUCAGUCUUGAACUGAUGAAAAGACAAAGGGAAGACUUGAUGAGCUUGAAGGAUGAAGCAGAAGUACAGACCGAGCCUAUGGAAACAGACUGGAAGGAAAAGCUCACGAGGGAAAGACAACAACUUGAAGAUGUAAAGGAGGAGAUACAGAAGGAAAAAGAAGCCUUUGAGAGAAAGAAGGGAUUGACCAUGAAAGAAAGAGAUGAGUUUGAUCUGAUGAAGUCUGAAACCCAGGGACAAUUGGAGGAAAUAGAACAAAACAAACAAGACAUUCGUGUGGAGAAGGAAAAGCUGGAUCAGAUCAAAGCUGAGUUAGAAAGACGGUCUGAAGACAUCAAUCAGCUCAUGGAUGAGACAAGACAGGAGAGGGGGAAGGUUGAAGAACUGGCUAUCCAAACUCAAAAACAAAGAGAAGAAAUGGUGGGUUUUAUGGAAAAGAACAAACAAAAGCAGAACGAACUGGAACUCAUGACUGACAAGAUUGAAAGAGAGAAACAAGACAUCGAAGACAGUCGGGAUGUGCUAACAAAGGAGAGAGAGGAGCUGGAACAAAUGAGGAGUGAGAUACAGCAACAGAGAGAGGAGACAGAAUCUCACAUGGAAGACCAAAGGAAAGAGAAAGAACAUUUGGAACAAAUGACGACGGACAUGAAAAAACAGUUGCUAGAGGUGGACAAUGACAAGGAAAUGAUACAAAGCUCAAUGGGUGAACUGAGAGUGAAAGAGGCAGAAAUGGUGAGAGAAAAAGACAACAUGGAUAACAAGAUGGCUAGGCUCAAAGAGGAAGAGGAUAGAAUGCGGGAAGAAAUAGGAAGGAAGAUGGACAUCUUAAAGCAGGAAAGUUGUGAAAUCAAAAGACUUAGAGAUGAAAUUGACAGUGAAAAGGACCAGCUGUAUGCAAAAUUGCUUGAGUUGGAAAAAAUGCAUGAAGAACUAGAUAGAGAGAAGAAGGAAGUGAAAGACAGGAAGGAUGAAACACUGAAAGAGAAAGAUCAGUUGGAAGAGAGGCGAGGUAAGAUAAGUAAGGAGAAAGAGGAAUUGGAUAUCAGUCUUGAACUGAUGAAAAGACAAAGGGAAGACUUGAUGAGCUUGAAGGAUGAAGCAGAAGUACAGACCGAGCCUAUGGAAACAGACUGGAAGGAAAAGCUCACGAGGGAAAGACAACAACUUGAAGAUGUAAAGGAGGAGAUACAGAAGGAAAAAGAAGCCUUUGAGAGAAAGAAGGGAUUGACCAUGAAAGAAAGAGAUGAGUUUGAUCUGAUGAAGUCUGAAACCCAGGGACAAUUGGAGGAAAUAGAACAAAACAAACAAGACAUUCGUGUGGAGAAGGAAAAGCUGGAUCAGAUCAAAGCUGAGUUAGAAAGACGGUCUGAAGACAUCAAUCAGCUCAUGGAUGAGACAAGACAGGAGAGGGGGAAGGUUGAAGAACUGGCUAUCCAAACUCAAAAACAAAGAGAAGAAAUGGUGGGUUUUAUGGAAAAGAACAAACAAAAGCAGAACGAACUGGAACUCAUGACUGACAAGAUUGAAAGAGAGAAACGAGACAUCGAAGACAGUCGGGAUGUGCUAACAAAGGAGAGAGAGGAGCUGGAACAAAUGAGGAGUGAGAUACAGCAACAGAGAGAGGAGACAGAAUCUCACAUGGAAGACCAAAGGAAAGAGAAAGAACAUUUGGAACAAAUGACGACGGACAUGAAAAAACAGUUGCUAGAGGUGGACAAUGACAAGGAAAUGAUACAAAGCUCAAUGGGUGAACUGAGAGUGAAAGAGGCAGAAAUGGUGAGAGAAAAAGACAACAUGGAUAACAAGAUGGCUAGGCUCAAAGAGGAAGAGGAUAGAAUGCGGGAAGAAAUAGGAAGGAAGAUGGACAUCUUAAAGCAGGAAAGUUGUGAAAUCAAAAGACUUAGAGAUGAAAUUGACAGUGAAAAGGACCAGCUGUAUGCAAAAUUGCUUGAGUUGGAAAAAAUGCAUGAAGAACUAGAUAGAGAGAAGAAGGAAGUGAAAGACAGGAAGGAUGAAACACUGAAAGAGAAAGAUCAGUUGGAAGAGAGGCGAGGUAAGAUAAGUAAGGAGAAAGAGGAAUUGGAUAUCAGUCUUGAACUGAUGAAAAGACAAAGGGAAGACUUGAUGAGCUUGAAGGAUGAAGCAGAAGUACAGACCGAGCCUAUGGAAACAGACUGGAAGGAAAAGCUCACGAGGGAAAGACAACAACUUGAAGAUGUAAAGGAGGAGAUACAGAAGGAAAAAGAAGCCUUUGAGAGAAAGAAGGGAUUGACCAUGAAAGAAAGAGAUGAGUUUGAUCUGAUGAAGUCUGAAACCCAGGGACAAUUGGAGGAAAUAGAACAAAACAAACAAGACAUUCGUGUGGAGAAGGAAAAGCUGGAUCAGAUCAAAGCUGAGUUAGAAAGACGGUCUGAAGACAUCAAUCAGCUCAUGGAUGAGACAAGACGGGAGAGGGGGAAGGUUGAAGAACUGGCUAUCCAAACUCAAAAACAAAGAGAAGAAAUGGUGGGUUUUAUGGAAAAGAACAAACAAAAGCAGAACGAACUGGAUCUCAUGACUGACAAGAUUGAAAGAGAGAAACAAGACAUCGAAGACAGUCGGGAUGUGCUAACAAAGGAGAGAGAGGAGCUGGAACAAAUGAGGAGUGAGAUACAGCAACAGAGAGAGGAGACAGAAUCUCACAUGGAAGACCAAAGGAAAGAGAAAGAACAUUUGGAACAAAUGACGACGGACAUGAAAAAACAGUUGCUAGAGGUGGACAAUGACAAGGAAAUGAUACAAAGCUCAAUGGGUGAACUGAGAGUGAAAGAGGCAGAAAUGGUGAGAGAAAAAGACAACAUGGAUAACAAGAUGGCUAGGCUCAAAGAGGAAGAGGAUAGAAUGCGGGAAGAAAUAGGAAGGAAGAUGGACAUCUUAAAGCAGGAAAGUUGUGAAAUCAAAAGACUUAGAGAUGAAAUUGACAGUGAAAAGGACCAGCUGUAUGCAAAAUUGCUUGAGUUGGAAAAAAUGCAUGAAGAACUAGAUAGAGAGAAGAAGGAAGUGAAAGACAGGAAGGAUGAAACACUGAAAGAGAAAGAUCAGUUGGAAGAGAGGCGAGGUAAGAUAAGUAAGGAGAAAGAGGAAUUGGAUAUCAGUCUUGAACUGAUGAAAAGACAAAGGGAAGACUUGAUGAGCUUGAAGGCUGAAGCAGAAGUACAGACCGAGCCUAUGGAAACAGACUGGAAGGAAAAGCUCACGAGGGAAAGACAACAACUUGAAGAUGUAAAGGAGGAGAUACAGAAGGAAAAAGAAGCCCUUGAGAGAAAGAAGGGAUUGACCAUGAAAGAAAGAGAUGAGUUUGAUCUGAUGAAGUCUGAAACCCAGGGACAAUUGGAGGAAAUAGAACAAAACAAACAAGACAUUCGUGUGGAGAAGGAAAAGCUGGAUCAGAUCAAAGCUGAGUUAGAAAGACGGUCUGAAGACAUCAAUCAGCUCAUGGAUGAGACAAGACGGGAGAGGGGGAAGGUUGAAGAACUGGCUAUCCAAACUCAAAAACAAAGAGAAGAAAUGGUGGGUUUUAUGGAAAAGAACAAACAAAAGCAGAACGAACUGGAUCUCAUGACUGACAAGAUUGAAAGAGAGAAACAAGACAUCGAAGACAGUCGGGAUGUGCUAACAAAGGAGAGAGAGGAGCUGGAACAAAUGAGGAGUGAGAUACAGCAACAGAGAGAGGAGACAGAAUCUCACAUGGAAGACCAAAGGAAAGAGAAAGAACAUUUGGAACAAAUGACGACGGACAUGAAAAAACAGUUGCUAGAGGUGGACAAUGACAAGGAAAUGAUACAAAGCUCAAUGGGUGAACUGAGAGUGAAAGAGGCAGAAAUGGUGAGAGAAAAAGACAACAUGGAUAACAAGAUGGCUAGGCUCAAAGAGGAAGAGGAUAGAAUGCGGGAAGAAAUAGGAAGGAAGAUGGACAUCUUAAAGCAGGAAAGUUGUGAAAUCAAAAGACUUAGAGAUGAAAUUGACAGUGAAAAGGACCAGCUGUAUGCAAAAUUGCUUGAGUUGGAAAAAAUGCAUGAAGAACUAGAUAGAGAGAAGAAGGAAGUGAAAGACAGGAAGGAUGAAACACUGAAAGAGAAAGAUCAGUUGGAAGAGAGGCGAGGUAAGAUAAGUAAGGAGAAAGAGGAAUUGGAUAUCAGUCUUGAACUGAUGAAAAGACAAAGGGAAGACUUGAUGAGCUUGAAGGCUGAAGCAGAAGUACAGACCGAGCCUAUGGAAACAGACUGGAAGGAAAAGCUCACGAGGGAAAGACAACAACUUGAAGAUGUAAAGGAGGAGAUACAGAAGGAAAAAGAAACCUUUGAGAGAAAGAAGGGAUUGACCAUGAAAGAAAGAGAUGAGUUUGAUCUGAUGAAGUCUGAAACCCAGGGACAAUUGGAGGAAAUAGAACAAAACAAACAAGACAUUCGUGUGGAGAAGGAAAAGCUGGAUCAGAUCAAAGCUGAGUUAGAAAGACGGUCUGAAGACAUCAAUCAGCUCAUGGAUGAGACAAGACGGGAGAGGGGGAAGGUUGAAGAACUGGCUAUCCAAACUCAAAAACAAAGAGAAGAAAUGGUGGGUUUUAUGGAAAAGAACAAACAAAAGCAGAACGAACUGGAUCUCAUGACUGACAAGAUUGAAAGAGAGAAACAAGACAUCGAAGACAGUCGGGAUGUGCUAACAAAGGAGAGAGAGGAGCUGGAACAAAUGAGGAGUGAGAUACAGCAACAGAGAGAGGAGACAGAAUCUCACAUGGAAGACCAAAGGAAAGAGAAAGAACAUUUGGAACAAAUGACGACGGACAUGAAAAAACAGUUGCUAGAGGUGGACAAUGACAAGGAAAUGAUACAAAGCUCAAUGGGUGAACUGAGAGUGAAAGAGGCAGAAAUGGUGAGAGAAAAAGACAACAUGGAUAACAAGAUGGCUAGGCUCAAAGAGGAAGAGGAUAGAAUGCGGGAAGAAAUAGGAAGGCAGAUGGACAUCUUAAAGCAGGAAAGUUGUGAAAUCAAAAGACUUAGAGAUGAAAUUGACAGUGAAAAGGACCAGCUGUAUGCAAAAUUGCUUGAGUUGGAAAAAAUGCAUGAAGAACUAGAUAGAGAGAAGAAGGAAGUGAAAGACAGGAAGGAUGAAACACUGAAAGAGAAAGAUCAGUUGGAAGAGAGGCGAGGUAAGAUAAGUAAGGAGAAAGAGGAAUUGGAUAUCAGUCUUGAACUGAUGAAAAGACAAAGGGAAGACUUGAUGAGCUUGAAGGCUGAAGCAGAAGUACAGACCGAGCCUAUGGAAACAGACUGGAAGGAAAAGCUCACGAGGGAAAGACAACAACUUGAAGAUGUAAAGGAGGAGAUACAGAAGGAAAAAGAAGCCCUUGAGAGAAAGAAGGGAUUGACCAUGAAAGAAAGAGAUGAGUUUGAUCUGAUGAAGUCUGAAACCCAGGGACAAUUGGAGGAAAUAGAACAAAACAAACAAGACAUUCGUGUGGAGAAGGAAAAGCUGGAUCAGAUCAAAGCUGAGUUAGAAAGACGGUCUGAAGACAUCAAUCAGCUCAUGGAUGAGACAAGACGGGAGAGGGGGAAGGUUGAAGAACUGGCUAUCCAAACUCAAAAACAAAGAGAAGAAAUGGUGGGUUUUAUGGAAAAGAACAAACAAAAGCAGAACGAACUGGAACUCAUGACUGACAAGAUUGAAAGAGAGAAACAAGACAUCGAAGACAGUCGGGAUGUGCUAACAAAGGAGAGAGAGGAGCUGGAACAAAUGAGGAGUGAGAUACAGCAACAGAGAGAGGAGACAGAAUCUCACAUGGAAGACCAAAGGAAAGAGAAAGAACAUUUGGAACAAAUGACGACGGACAUGAAAAAACAGUUGCUAGAGGUGGACAAUGACAAGGAAAUUAUACAAAGCUCAAUGGGUGAACUGAGAGUGAAAGAGGCAGAAAUGGUGAGAGAAAAAGACAACAUGGAUAACAAGAUGGCUAGGCUCAAAGAGGAAGAGGAUAGAAUGCGGGAAGAAAUAGGAAGGAAGAUGGACAUCUUAAAGCAGGAAAGUUGUGAAAUCAAAAGACUUAGAGAUGAAAUUGACAGUGAAAAGGACCAGCUGAAUGCAAAAUUGCUUGAGUUGGAAAAAAUGCGUGAAGAACAAGAUAGAGAGAAGAAGGAAGUGAAAGACAGGAAGGAUGAAACACUGAAAGAGAAAGAUCAGUUGGAAGAGAGGCGAGGUAAGAUAAGUAAGGAGAAAGAGGAAUUGGAUAUCAGUCUUGAACUGAUGAAAAGACAAAGGGAAGACUUGACGAGCUUGAAGGCUGAAGCAGAAGUACAGACCGAACCUAUGGAAACAGACUGGAAGGAAAAGCUCACGAUGGAAAGACAACAACUUGAAGAUGUAAAGGAGGAGAUACAGAAGGAAAAAGAAACCUUUGAGAGAAAGAAGGGAUUGACCAUGAAAGAAAGAGAUGAGUUUGAUCUGAUGAAGUCUGAAACCCAGGGACAAUUGGAGGAAAUAGAACAAAACAAACAAGACAUUCGUGUGGAGAAGGAAAAGCUGGAUCAGAUCAAAGCUGAGUUAGAAAGACGGUCUGAAGACAUCAAUCAUGUCAUGGAUGAGACAAGACGGGAGAGGGGGAAGGUUGAAGAACUGGCUAUCCAAACUCAAAAACAAAGAGAAGACAUGGUGGGUUUUAUGGAAAAGAACAAACAAAAGCAGAACGAACUGGAACUCAUGAAUGACAAGAUUGAAAGAGAGAAACAAGACAUCGAAGACAGUCGGGAUGUGCUAACAAAGGAGAGAGUGGAGCUGGAACAAAUGAGGAGUGAGAUACAGCAACAGAGAGAGGAGACAGAAUCUCACAUGGAAGACCAAAGGAAAGAGAAAGAGCAUUUGGAACAAAUGACGACGGACAUGAAAAAACAGUUGCUAGAGGUGGACAAUGACAAGGAAAUGAUACAAAGUUCAAUGGGUGAACUGAGAGUGAAAGAGGCAGAAAUGGUGAGAGAAAAAGACAACAUGGAUAACAAGAUGGCUAGGCUCAAUGAGGAAGAGGAUAGAAAGCGGGAAGAAAUAGGAAGGAAAAUGGACAUCUUAAAGCAGGAAAGUUGUGAAAUCACAAGACUUAGAGAUGAAAUUGACAGUGAAAAGGACCAGCUGAAUGCAAAAUUGCUUGAGUUGGAAAAAAUGCGUGAAGAACUAGAUAGACAGAAGAAGGAAGUGAAAGACAGGAAGGAUGAAACACUGAAAGAGAAAGAUCAGUUGGAAGAGAGGCGAGGUAAGAUAAGUAAGGAGAAAGAGGAAUUGGAUAUCAGUCUUGAACUGAUGAAAAGACAAAGGGAAGACUUGACGAGCUUGAAGGCUGAAGCAGAAGUACAGACCGAACCUAUGGAAACAGACUGGAAGGAAAAGCUCACGAGGGAAAGACAACAACUUCAAGAUGUAAAGGAGGAGAUACAGAAGGAAAAAGAAACCUUUGAGAGAAAGAAGGGAUUGACCAUGAAAGAAAGAGAUGAGUUUGAUCUGAUGAAGUCUGAAACCCAGGGACAAUUGGAGGAAAUAGAACAAAACAAACAAGACAUUCGUGUGGAGAAGGAAAAGCUGGAUCAGAUCAAAGCUGAGUUAGAAAGACGGUCUGAAGACAUCAAUCAUGCUCAUGGAUGAGACAAGACGGGAGAGGGGGAAGGUUGAAGAACUGGCUAUCCAAACUCAAAAACAAAGAGAAGACAUGGUGGGUUUUAUGGAAAAGAACAAACAAAAGCAGAACGAACUGGAACUCAUGAAUGACAAGAUUGAAAGAGAGAAACAAGACAUCGAAGACAGUCGGGAUGUGCUAACAAAGGAGAGAGUGGAGCUGGAACAAAUGAGGAGUGAGAUACAGCAACAGAGAGAGGAGACAGAAUCUCACAUGGAAGACCAAAGGAAAGAGAAAGAGCAUUUGGAACAAAUGACGACGGACAUGAAAAAACAGUUGCUAGAGGUGGACAAUGACAAGGAAAUGAUACAAAGUUCAAUGGGUGAACUGAGAGUGAAAGAGGCAGAAAUGGUGAGAGAAAAAGACAACAUGGAUAACAAGAUGGCUAGGCUCAAUGAGGAAGAGGAUAGAAAGCGGGAAGAAAUAGGAAGGAAAAUGGACAUCUUAAAGCAGGAAAGUUGUGAAAUCACAAGACUUAGAGAUGAAAUUGACAGUGAAAAGGACCAGCUGAAUGCAAAAUUGCUUGAGUUGGAAAAAAUGCGUGAAGAACUAGAUAGACAGAAGAAGGAAGUGAAAGACAGGAAGGAUGAAACACUGAAAGAGAAAGAUCAGUUGGAAGAGAGGCGAGGUAAGAUAAGUAAGGAGAAAGAGGAAUUGGAUAUCAGUCUUGAACUGAUGAAAAGACAAAGGGAAGACUUGACGAGCUUGAAGGCUGAAGCAGAAGUACAGACCGAACCUAUGGAAACAGACUGGAAGGAAAAGCUCACGAGGGAAAGACAACAACUUCAAGAUGUAAAAGAGGAGAUACAGAAGGAAAAAGAAACCUUUGAGAGAAAGAAGGGAUUGACCAUGAAAGAAAGAGAUGAGUUUGAUCUGAUGAAGUCUGAAACCCAGGGACAAUUGGAGGAAAUAGAACAAAACAAACAAGACAUUCGUGUGGAGAAGGAAAAGCUGGAUCAGAUCAAAGCUGAGUUAGAAAGACGGUCUGAAGACAUCAAUCAUGUCAUGGAUGAGACAAGACGGGAGAGGGGGAAGGUUGAAGAACUGGCUAUCCAAACUCAAAAACAAAGAGAAGACAUGGUGGGUUUUAUGGAAAAGAACAAACAAAAGCAGAACGAACUGGAACUCAUGAAUGACAAGAUUGAAAGAGAGAAACAAGACAUCGAAGACAGUCGGGAUGUGCUAACAAAGGAGAGAGUGGAGCUGGAACAAAUGAGGAGUGAGAUACAGCAACAGAGAGAGGAGACAGAAUCUCACAUGGAAGACCAAAGGAAAGAGAAAGAGCAUUUGGAACAAAUGACGACGGACAUGAAAAAACAGUUGCUAGAGGUGGACAAUGACAAGGAAAUGAUACAAAGCUCAAUGGGUGAACUGAGAGUGAAAGAGGCAGAAAUGGUGAGAGAAAAAGACAACAUGGAUAACAAGAUGGCUAGGCUCAAAGAGGAAGAGGAUGGAAUGCGGGAAGAAAUAGGAAGGAAGAUGGACAUCUUAAAGCAGGAAAGUUGUGAAAUCAAAAGACUUAGAGAUGAAAUUGACAGUGAAAAGGACCAGCUGAAUGCAAAAUUGCUUGAGUUGGAGAAAAUGCGUGAAGAACUAGAAAGAGAGAAGAAGGAAGUGAACAACAGGAAGGAUGAAACACUGAAAGAGAAAGAUCAGUUGGAAGAGAGGCGAGGUAAGAUGAGCAAGGAGAAAGAGGAAUUGGAUAUCAGUCUUGAACUGAUGAAAAGACAAGGGGAAGACUUGACGAGCUUGAAGGCUGAAGCAGACGCACAGACCGAGGCUAUGGAAACAGACUGGAAGGAAAAGCUCACGAUGGAAAGACAACAACUUGAAGAUGUAAAGGAGGAGAUACAGAAGGAAAAAGAAGCCUUUGAGAGAAAGAAGGGAUUGACCAUGAAAGAAAGAGAUGAGUUUGAUCUGAUGAAGUCUGAAACCCAGGGACAAUUGGAGGAAAUAGAACAAAACAAACAAGACAUUCGUGUGGAGAAGGAAAAGCUGGAUCAGAUCAAAGCUGAGUUAGAAAGACGGUCUGAAGACAUCAAUCAGCUCAUGGAUGAGACAAGACGGGAGAGGGGGAAGGUUGAAGAACUGGCUAUCCAAACUCAAAAACAAAGAGAAGAAAUGGUGGGUUUUAUGGAAAAGAACAAACAAAAGCAGAACGAACUGGAACUCAUGAAUGACAAGAUUGAAAGAGAGAAACAAGACAUCGAAGAAAGUUGGGAUGUGCUAACAAAGGAGAGAGAGGAGCUGGAACAAAUGAGGAGUGAGAUACAGCAACAGAGAGAGGAGACAGAAUCUCACAUGGAAGACCAAAGGAAAGAGAAAGAACAUUUGGAACAAAUGACGACGGACAUGAAAAAACAGUUGCUAAAGGUGGACAAUGACAAGGAAAUGAUACAAAGCUCAAUGUGUGAACUGAGAGUGAAAGAGGCAGAAAUGGUGAGAGAAAAAGACAACAUGGAUAACAAGAUGGCUAGGCUCAAAGAGGAAGAGGAUGGAAUGCGGGAAGAAAUAGGAAGGAAGAUGGACAUCUUAAAGCAGGAAAGUUGUGAAACCAAAAGACUAAGAGAUGAAAUUGACAGUGAAAAGGACCAGCUGAAUGCAAAAUUGCUUGAGUUGGAAAAAAUGCGUGAAGAACUAGAUAGAGAGAAGAAGGAAGUGAAAGACAGGAAGGAUGAAACACUGAAAGAGAAAGAUCAGUUGGAAGAGAGGCGAGGUAAGAUAAGUAAGGAGAAAGAGGAAUUGGAUAUCAGUCUUGAACUGAUGAAAAGACAAAGGGAAGACUUGACAAGCUUGAAGGCUGAAGCAGAAGUACAGACCGAACCUAUGGAAACAGACUGGAAGGAAAAGCUCACGAUGGAAAGACAACAACUUGAAGAUGUAAAGGAGGAGAUACAGAAGGAAAAAGAAGCCUUUGAGAGAAAGAAGGGUUUGACCAUGAAAGAAAGAGAUGAGUUUGAUCUGAUGAAGUCUGAAACACAGGGACAAUUGGAGGAAAUAGAACAAAACAAACAAGACAUUCGUGUGGAGAAGGAAAAGCUGGAUCAGAUCAAAGCUGAGUUAGAAAGACGGUCUGAAGACAUCAAUCAGCUCAUGGAUGAGACAAGACGGGAGAGGGGGAAGGUUGAAGAACUGGCUAUCCAAACUCAAAAACAAAGAGAAGAAAUGGUGGGUUUUAUGGAAAAGAACAAACAAAAGCAGAACGAACUGGAACUCAUGAAUGACAAGAUUGAAAGAGAGAAACAAGACAUCGAAGACAGUCGGGAUGUGCUAACAAAGGAGAGAGUGGAGCUGGAACAAAUGAGGAGUGAGAUACAGCAACAGAGAGAGGAGACAGAAUCUCACAUGGAAGACCAAAGGAAAGAGAAAGAGCAUUUGGAACAAAUGACGACGGACAUGAAAAAACAGUUGCUAGAGGUGGACAAUGACAAGGAAAUGAUACAAAGCUCAAUGGGUGAACUGAGAGUGAAAGAGGCAGAAAUGGUGAGAGAAAAAGACAACAUGGAUAACAAGAUGGCUAGGCUCAAAGAGGAAGAGGAUGGAAUGCGGGAAGAAAUAGGAAGGAAGAUGGACAUCUUAAAGCAGGAAAGUUGUGAAAUCAAAAGACUUAGAGAUGAAAUUGACAGUGAAAAGGACCAGCUGAAUGCAAAAUUGCUUGAGUUGGAGAAAAUGCGUGAAGAACUAGAAAGAGAGAAGAAGGAAGUGAACAACAGGAAGGAUGAAACACUGAAAGAGAAAGAUCAGUUGGAAGAGAGGCGAGGUAAGAUGAGCAAGGAGAAAGAGGAAUUGGAUAUCAGUCUUGAACUGAUGAAAAGACAAAGGGAAGACUUGACAAGCUUGAAGGCUGAAGCAGAAGUACAGACCGAAGCCUAUGGAAACAGACUGGAAGGAAAAGCUCACGAUGGAAAGACAACAACUUGAAGAUGUAAAGGAGGAGAUACAGAAGGAAAAAGAAGCCUUUGAGAGAAAGAAGGGUUUGACCAUGAAAGAAAGAGAUGAGUUUGAUCUGAUGAAGUCUGAAACACAGGGACAAUUGGAGGAAAUAGAACAAAACAAACAAGACAUUCGUGUGGAGAAGGAAAAGCUGGAUCAGAUCAAAGCUGAGUUAGAAAGACGGUCUGAAGACAUCAAUCAGCUCAUGGAUGAGACAAGACGGGAGAGGGGGAAGGUUGAAGAACUGGCUAUCCAAACUCAAAAACAAAGAGAAGAAAUGGUGGGUUUUAUGGAAAAGAACAAACAAAAGCAGAACGAACUGGAACUCAUGAAUGACAAGAUUGAAAGAGAGAAACAAGACAUCGAAGACAGUCGGGAUGUGCUAACAAAGGAGAGAGAGGAGCUGGAACAAAUGAGGAGUGAGAUACAGCAACAA
ensembl:lncRNA